rnacentral:rRNA from 1 species
UGGGGAAUAUUGGACAAUGGGCGAAAGCCUGAUCCAGCCAUGCCGCGUGUGUGAAGAAGGUUUUCGGAUCGUAAAACUCUGUUGUUAGAGAAGAACAAGGACGUUAGUAACUGAACGUCCCCUGACGGUAUCUAACCAGAAAGCCACGGCUAACUACGUGCCAGCAGCCGCGGUAAUACGUAGGUGGCAAGCGUUGUCCGGAUUUAUUGGGCGUAAAGCGAGCGCAGGCGGUUUCUUAAGUCUGAUGUGAAAGCCCCCGGCUCAACCGGGGAGGGUCAUUGGAAACUGGGAGACUUGAGUGCAGAAGAGGAGAGUGGAAUUCCAUGUGUAGCGGUGAAAUGCGUAGAUAUAUGGAGGAACACCAGUGGCGAAGGCGGCUCUCUGGUCUGUAACUGACGCUGAGGCUCGAAAGCGUGGGGAGCAAACA